CAAAGAUUUCAUACCAGCACUAACGCAUCGGAUCCCAUCAGAACUCCGAAGUUAAGCGUGACAAGUUGGUAUCAGAGCCUAGGUUACUAGGCCUUGC
rfam:Nicotiana attenuata strain TT chromosome 11, whole genome shotgun sequence.